rnacentral:rRNA from 1 species
UCUCUGGGCCGUUACUGACGCUGAGGAGCGAAAGCGUGGGGAGCGAACAGGAUUAGAUACCCUGGUAGUCCACGCCGUAAACGGUGGAUGCUGGAUGUGGGGCCCGUUCCACGGGUUCCGUGUCGGAGCUAACGCGUUAAGCAUCCCGCCUGGGGAGUACGGCCGCAAGGCUAAAACUCAAAGAAAUUGACGGGGGCCCGCACAAGCGGCGGAGCAUGCGGAUUAAUUCGAUGCAACGCGAAGAACCUUACCUGGGCUUGACAUGUUCCCGACGGUCGUAGAGAUACGGCUUCCCUUCGGGGCGGGUUCACAGGUGGUGCAUGGUCGUCGUCAGCUCGUGUCGUGAGAUGUUGGGUUAAGUCCCGCAACGAGCGCAACCCUCGCCCCGUGUUGCCAGCGGAUUAUGCCGGGAACUCACGGGGGACCGCCGGGGUUAACUCGGAGGAAGGUGGGGAUGACGUCAGAUCAUCAUGCCCCUUACGUCCAGGGCUUCACGCAUGCUACAAUGGCCGGUACAACGGGAUGCGACGCGGCGACGCGGAGCGGAUCCCUGAAAACCGGUCUCAGUUCGGAUCGGAGCCUGCAACCCGGCUCCGUGAAGGCGGAGUCGCUAGUAAUCGCGAAUCAGCAACGUCGCGGUGAAUGCGUUCCCGGGCCUUGUACACACCGCCCGUCAAGUCAUGAAAGUGGGCAGCACCCGAAGCCGGUGGCCUAACCCCUUGUGGGAUGGAGCCGUCUAAGGUGAGGCUCGUGAUUGGGACUAAGUCGUAACAAGGUAGCCGUACCGGAAGGUGCGGCUGGAUCACCUCCUUUCUACGGAG